rnacentral:lncRNA from 1 species
GGAACCUCCGAGGUCUUCACUCCCUACCCGAGCUUUAAACCCUUCCAGUUGGUCCUCAAACCCAGAGUCAGUCCUGCUCCCAGCGAGCGCCUGUGUUCUGGUCCAUCCCAGCGCACGCACUGGGAGCCAGGGAGAAGCCCAGGAGCACGAGCUUGCGCGUGCUCGCCACAGUCCAGCCCCUUCUUCCUCUUCUCUCUAGUGGUAGGUGGCGUUGCUGCGGCUUGUCCACCUCUUCCCUCCCUCUCUUCCUCCUCUGGCUCCACCCCUCCUCCCCCUUCCCGCCUUCUCUCUCUUUCCCGCUACGGUUCCUAACCCGGGUGUGAGGUUAUUGAACGAGUCUAGAAGCGAUUCGGUCCCGCCGGGACAUGGCACCAUCCCCGGUGGAGGUGUUUGAACUUCCGGAGGAUGAGCUUGCCGGACCUGUCAACUUAUGCACACAGGCAAAACCCCCCUCCAUUCCGGGGUUAGACCACGAGGGGCCCGGCCCUGCGAAAACUGGGAGGUCGAUUUCACCGAAAUCAAGCCUGGCAGGUAUGGUUACAGAUAUCUCCUGGUCUUUGUCGACACCUUCGUGGGUUGGCCUGGGGCUUUUCCCACUGAAUCAGAGACUGCCCUCACAGUGGCAAAGAAAUUGUUG